rnacentral:rRNA from 1 species
GCAGCGAAAUGCGAUAAGUAAUGUGAAUUGCAGAAUUCAGUGAAUCAUCGAAUCUUUGAACGCANCUUGCGCUCCUUGGUAUUCCUCGGAGCAUGCCUGUUUGAGUAUCAUGAAAUUCUCAAAGCAAGUCUUUUGUUAAUUCGAUCGGCUUUGUUUUGGACUUGGAGGUUUGCAGAUUCACGUCUGCUCCUCUUAAAUAAAUUAGCUGGAUCUCCAUGAACUUGGUUCCACUCAGCGUGAUAAGUAUCAUUCGCUGAGGACACCCGUAAAAAAGGUGGCCAGGGUUGAGGAUGAGCCGCUUCUAACAGUCCAUUCGAUUGGACAAUUAAAUUUAUGAUCUGAUCUCAAAUCAGGUAGGACUACCCGCUGAACUUAAGCAUAUCAAUAAGCGGAGGAAAAGAAACUAACAAGGAUUCCCCUAGUAACGGCGAGUGAAGCGGGAAGAGCUCAAAUUUAAAAUCUGGCGGUGUAUUCCGUCCGAGUUGUAGUCUAGAGAAGCAUCAUCCGCGCCGGACCAUGUACAAGUCUCUUGGAACAGAGCGUCAUAGAGGGUGAGAAUCCCGUCCUUGACAUGGACUCCCGGUGCUUUGUGUUGAGCUCUCAACGAGUCGAGUUGUUUGGGAAUGCAGCUCAAAAUGGGUGGUAAAUUCCAUCUAAAGCUAAAUAUUGGCGAGAGACCGAUAGCGAACAAGUACCGUGAGGGAAAGAUGAAAAGCACUUUGGAGAGAGAGUUAAACAGUACGUGAAAUUGUUGAAAUGGAAACGCUUGAAGUCAGUCGCGUUCUCUGGGAUUCAGCCUUGCUUUUGCUUGGUGCACUUCCUAGUCUACGGGCCAGUAUGAAUUUCGACCGAUAGAAAAGGGCUGGAGGAAUGUGGCACCUUCGGGUGUGUUAUAGCCUCCUGUCGCAUGUGUCGGUUGGGAUUGAGGAUCUUAGUGCAC